GUUCUACUGUCGCGCGGGUGUGACGCCAUCACGUCCGCAGUUCGUUGCGGGUUUCUGCGCCGUUUAAGUGUUUUUCUGUUAAAAGUUUACGUUCCUAAAUAUUGCAUAUUCUUGUCUAUAUUUUGAUUUAAAACUGUCUGUGUGGCUGUCAGUGAUCCUGGCUAGUUAAUCAACAUAGAUCACAAACAUUAUGCUCAGAUAUUUAAGUUUCAAGUUUAUUUAAGUACUUAUUUGUUGCACAUUUUAUACAGUUUUUAUUACAUGUAUUAUAUUCACGUAUAAAAAAUUGACACAGAGCAUGAAUGUUGCAAUUAAAAAUAAUAAAGUAAAGAAAGCAUAAAUGGACGUAAGUUUAAAAUACGUUUGUAAGCAAACCGUCUGUUAUUCACCGUGGUGUUGUCCCAUUGGUCCGCUUGAUGCGCUGACGUCCGCGGGAUAAUGGGGUUUGUAGUCUUUAAUCCCUCCCUCCGUCGUUCACUACAGCGCUGAGCGCGCCGGUGAAGAACUACAGCGCGCCGCGUGUGGGCGUGUCCGCAUGUGACGUCUCUUUCUUUGGAGGCGGGGCGUCGCGGUUGAACUUCCACGCGGUAGUUGGUUGAGUUUGACAGCUCGUGAUCCCAGAGGAGCGUAAUCUCACCGAUCCAGUCCUGCACCAAGCUGCUAGAAACCGCAAGAACACUUUGACUUCAAACAGGGUUUGCGUUUGUAAAGGGAUGUCUGGGAACACACGCAGUUUUUGGGAGGCGUCUGUGUUUGCUCUGGGACUUUUUGGACUUUUACAUUCAAAGCAGUUAACGGGGGUCUUGGACGACUGUUUCUGUGACAUCGAGAGCAUUGACGUCUUCAACAACUUCAGAAUUUAUCCUCACAUUCGCAAGCUCACAGACAGAGACUUCUUCCGAUACUACAAGUCUCCACAGAGCUGAAGUGGAUGCAGCAGUAUGCAGUGGAUGUGACUCUGGAUCCUGAUACAGCUCAUCCUGAUCUCAUUCUGUCUGAUGAUGGAAAACAAGUGUGAGAUGGAGACAUUAGACAGAAACUCCCAGACACACCAGAGAGAUUUGAUAGAUGUCCCUGUGUCCUGGGAAAGGAGGGAUUCUCCUCAGGGAGAUUUUAUUUUGAGGUGCAGGUGAAGGGAAAGACUGAAUGGAUUUUAGGAGUGGCCAGAGAAUCCAUUAACAGGAAGGGACUGAUCACACUGAGUCCCAGUGAUGGAUACUGGACUGUGUGGCUGAGGAAUGGAGAUAAAUAUGAAGCCUGUGAGGAUACUCUCGUCUCUCUGUCUCUGAGAGAAAUAUAAUGUUUUUUCAGUAAAUUAUUUUUUGUUCAACUUUUCAUAAAUAUUCCUGCCAUUUUUCUACCUGAAAAAGUGAAAUUGCCAAAAAAACUAAACUAUGAUAAUGUCUGUAGAACUG